UACGUAGGGGGCAAGCGUUGUCCGGAUUCAUUGGGCGUAAAGAGCUCGUAGGCGGCCACUCAAGUCGAAUGUGAAACCUCGAGGCUCAACCUCGAGCCUGCAUUCGAUACUGGGCGGCUAGAGUCUGGUAGGGGGAUCUGGAAUUCCUGGUGUAGCGGUGAAAUGCGUAGAUAUCUGGAGGAACACCGGUGGCGAAGGCGGCAUCCUGGACCGGCAUUGACGCUGAAGCUCGAAAGCUAGGGGAGCAAACGGG
rnacentral:rRNA from 1 species